UGGGGAAUAUUGCACAAUGGGCGCAAGCCUGAUGCAGCCAUGCCGCGUGUGUGAGGAAGGCCUUCGGGUUGUAAAGCACUUUCAGCGAGGAGGAAGGUGGUGAGCUUAAUACGCUCAUCAAUUGACGUUACUCGCAGAAGAAGCACCGGCUAACUCCGUGCCAGCAGCCGCGGUAAUACGGAGGGUGCAAGCGUUAAUCGGAAUUACUGGGCGUAAAGCGCACGCAGGCGGUUUGUUAAGUCAGAUGUGAAAUCCCCGGGCUCAACCUGGGAACUGCAUUUGAAACUGGCAAGCUAGAGUCUCGUAGAGGGGGGUAGAAUUCCAGGUGUAGCGGUGAAAUGCGUAGAGAUCUGGAGGAAUACCGGUGGCGAAGGCGGCCCCCUGGACGAAGACUGACGCUCAGGUGCGAAAGCGUGGGGCAGCAAACAGGAUUAGAUACCCUGGUAGUCCACGCUGUAAACGAUGUCGAUUUGGAGGUUGUGCCCCUUGAGGCGUGGCUUCCGGAGCUAACGCGUUAAAUCGACCGCCUGGGGGAG
rnacentral:rRNA from 1 species